rnacentral:rRNA from 1 species
GGCUCAGAACGAACGCUGGCGGCGUGCCUAACACAUGCAAGUCGAACGGGAAUUCCCGCAAGGGUUAGUACCGUGGCGCACGGGUGCGUAACACGUGAGUAAUCUGCCCUGAAGCCCGGAAUAACUCCCCGAAAGGGGUGCUAAUACCGGAUAAGACCACGGGGACUUCGGUUCCUGGGGGAAAAGGUGGCCUCUGUACACAAGCUAUCACUUCUGGAUGAGCUCGCGGCCCAUCAGCUAGUUGGCGGGGUAAUGGCCCACCAAGGCUACGACGGGUAGCUGGUCUGAGAGGACGAUCAGCCACACUGGAACUGAGACACGGUCCAGACUCCUACGGGAGGCAGCAGUGGGGAAUCUUGCGCAAUGGGCGAAAGCCUGACGCAGCAACGCCGCGUGUGUGAUGAAGGUCUUCGGAUCGUAAAGCACUGUCGGGAGGGACGAAUAAGGGCCGGGUGAACAAUCCGGUCCGACGACUGUACCUCCAGAGGAAGCACCGGCUAACUCUGUGCCAGCAGCCGCGGUAAUACAGAGGGUGCUAGCGUUGUUCGGAAUUAUUGGGCGUAAAGCGCGUGUAGGCGGCCGGCCAAGUCGGAUGUGAAAGCCCUCGGCUUAACCGAGGAAGUGCGUUCGAUACUAGCUGGCUCGAGUACCGGAGAGGGUGGUGGAAUUCCCGGUGUAGAGGUGAAAUUCGUAGAUAUCGGGAGGAACACCAGCGGCGAAGGCGACCACCUGGACGGAUACUGUCGCUGAGACGCGAAAGCGUGGGGAGCAACCAGGAUUAGAUACCCUGGUAGUCCACGCUGUAAACGAUGAGCGCUAGGUGUUGCGGGUGUUGACCCCUGCAGUGCCGAAGCUAACGCAUUAAGCGCUCCGCCUGGGGAGUACGGCCGCAAGGCUAAAACUCAAAG